rnacentral:rRNA from 1 species
GACGAACCGUACGAACGUUAUUCGGAAUCACUGGGCUUAAAGGGUGCGUAGGCGGCGCGACAAGUCGGGUGUGAAAUCCCUCGGCUCAACCGAGGAACUGCGCCCAAAACUGUCGUGCUCGAGGGAGACAGAGGUGAGCGGAACUUAGGGUGGAGCGGUGAAAUGCGUUGAUAUCCUAAGGAACACCGGUGGCGAAAGCGGCUCACUGGGUCUCUUCUGACGCUGAGGCACGAAAGCUAGGGUAGCGAACGGG